rnacentral:lncRNA from 10 species
AUACAAAUUCCAGGCUAACGGUGACAGUGGCUGCCUCGGGGAGUGGGACUAAGGAGGGGUAGGUGGGGUUUGACAUUUUACUUUAUUAAUUUUGGUAUUGUCUGAGGGUUUUUAAACCAUAAAUAAUGUAUUAAUUUUAAAAAUGCUUUUAAAAAUCAUCAUUUUCAAUAGUUAACGGUCUAUGCUUCAUCAACGUUUUCCGUUUAAAACCUGUGUGCGGCCCACACACGUAUGACAUUCUGAUUAUGUGAUUCACUGCUGAAAAAGAACUGGACGCCAGGAAAUUGGGGGUUGAGUCCGAAGCAAGGUGAACGCCGGACAUCGAGACAUGGAAUCCUAGACCGGCCCGGAAGUGCCUCUGCUCCGUCCGCCUUCGAGGAGAGGCAAGCGCCUCCAAGGUUUGUCUUGAAGCAUAGCUCCAGCUGGAGGGUACCUUUUAAGCUGUUCAAGGUCAAGAUGAAUACAAACUCAAAGGAGGUUUUAUCCCUGGGUGUUCAAGUUCCCGAGGCAUGGGAAGAACUUCUGACAAUGAAAGUGGAAGCAAAAAGUCACCUUCAAUGGCAGGAAUCCAGACUGAAA